CAUGUCCAUUUUUUGAGCCUCUGGUAUAUUAAAAAAUUAAGGCUGGGCCCAGUGGCUCAUGCCUGUAAUCCCAACACUUUGGGAGGCCGAGGAGGGCGGAUUACCUGAGGUCAGGAGUUUGAGACCAGCCUAGCCAACAUGGUGAAACCCUAUCUCUACUAAAAAUACAGAAAUUAGCCAGGCAUGGUGGCGGGUGCCUGUAAUCCCAGCUACUCAGGAGGCUGAGGCACGAGAAUCGCUUGAAUCCAGGAAAUGAGGUUGCAAAUGAGCCGACAUUGUGCCACUGCACUCCAGCCUGGGUGAUAGAGCCAGACUCUAAAUAAUAAUAAUAAAAACAACUAAGAAAUGCUAAGAUGAUUUUGAUAAUACUUGGUAUAUUUAAACAUUUAACAAAUACAAACUUGGUACAAACAACACAGCUAUAUAGUACUAUUUACAAGAACCAACAGGAAUUUUUUUAACUACAAAAUUAGAAAUUUAAGGGCCUUUAUAAAUGUGAGGCUGAGACCAAAGGAUUCUCAUGGCACCAGGGUGAGGACGAGGACAGGGGCAUGGGUGCAGGUUAGAGGUCCCUCAAGAGGCAUGGGUGUUAUCUCCAAAAGCCUCAGGGAAUUGGCACAGAAAUGUCCCACUCUUAGAUAAAGGGGACACAGGGGCCUGCUUGUCUUGGUCAGAAGGAGUUCUGUGAUAGCAUUCUGCAGUCCAGGAGUGCAGAGUCUCAUCUGGACUCUUACCCUGGGACCCCGGGGACAGGCAUCCUGGAGUGAUUCGUGUCUGAGGCGCCCACAGGGGGGCAGUGUGACAACUCAGAGGCGCUCCAAGGAGAGGGCACAGAAGUGCCAACCUUCUCCCCUCCCGCGGACCAUCUGUCCUGUACCACCCGCCGCCCCCCCACUCCCUGUCCUUUCCUGGAGUUAGUGAGGGCUGCCCACCAACCUCCACACAGGGACAGCAGACGGAAACUCUGACAUUUCCCUCUCUGCAGCUGGAAAGCUAAGAGCGGCUUGUCUGCCCGUCUCGCCGAGUCCCACCCCUUUAAGUACAGGUGUCCAGGGUGGAAACAUGGAAAGUGGAACAGGGGAAGGAAGAGGCUGGUAGUGCCCGUGGCCCUGGCGGGACUGGCUUUGCCUCUGCCUCUCAGUUCCCUAGGUUCGGUUUGCAGUCCCAACAUCCAGCACAAGGGGGCGCUACCACCCUGCAAACCCUGCCCCGCGGGUCUUGCACAUGGAGUGGGCGCAGCCAUAGAGAGUGGGGUGUGUUCCUCUAAGUCCCUUACCCAGCUUUCCUCCUCUCAGAACCUACAUGCAAUCUUGUGCAGGGAUGAGGUGGGGAGACCUCUGGAGCACAGGCCAGCAAAGCAGAGGAGAGUUUGGGGAAUCUGACAUAGAGCUUAGAGGGAUAGAGGGAAGAGAGGCCUCCUGGCUGGGCCCUCCAGGUCAGAGUCUAGGUGUGGGCUGGGCUGGGAGUGCAAGCCAAAGGCUGGGUAUUUCCAGAAGAGUUGGGUCAACACAAACUGAUACCAACCACUCCCAGAUUAAGGGCAGGCAGGGAGUGGAGAGUUGACACCUAAGCGGGAGGGGAUGGGGCCUACAGGGACAAAGUAGGAGUUCUGGGGGUAUGAACCUCUUUACCUCAAUAUAUUUUUCUUUUUUAAAACCUUUUAAAGAUUGACGUGAUGGUUGGUCUGAAGGUAGUGUGUUAUCUCAACUGAUUGCUCACAGUCAGUUACAGAUCAAACUCCUUGUUCUGUUCUUUUCCCCCUUCUCACUACUGCACUUGACUAAUCUAAAAAAAAAAUAAUAAGGUAAAAUAUACCAUGAAAGGCCGGGCACAUUGGCUCACGCCUGUAACCCCAGCACUUUGGGAGACUGGGGCGGGCAGAUCAUGAGAUCAGGAGUUUGAGAUCUGCCUGGUGAACGUGGUGAAACCCUGCCUCUACUAAAAAUACAAAAAAAAAAAAAAAGAAAAAAGUUAGCUGGGUGUGGCGGGCGCCUGUAAUCCCAGCUACUCAGGAGGCUGAGGCAGGAGAAUCAUUUGAACCCGGGAGGCGGAGGUUGCGGUGAGCCGAGAUCGCACCAUUGCACUCCACCAUGGGCGACAGGGCGAGACUCUGUCUCACACACACAAAAAUAUAUAUGUACCAUGAUGCUCACAAAGUGCACUAAGUUUAAGUGUUCAGCUCAAUUAUUUGAGUUAUGUAUUCACUACUUAUGUGUCCAUAAUAUGUACAUAUGUAUACAAUACUUAUGUAAUCACAACUACCACUGGUAAUUCAAUUCAACAAAUUUUACUGAGUGCCUCCUGUGUGUCUAGCACUAUUUUACCCGUUUGUAAGAAAAGUGAGGCUAGAACCUGUUUUCCAGUGGCUGUGAUAGGGUUGGUAUUAUGAAUUAUAGUAAUUCCUUGACAGAACUAUACCAUCACCUGGUAUGAGAGAGCAACAUUGUGUGAUCUACUCACAGUGACCGUCAUCUUGGACUCCAGAAUGGGAAGAAUUGUCUGCCGUGUCUGAAUAUACUAACUCACAGAACUCCAGGGGACAAAACUGGAGCCAGGAAAUAGAGUCAGGGCAGCCAUACUCCUAGCACAGAAUCAGGUGCUGAGCAGGCGAGAGAGCCUUUUGGGGAAUUGAUCCUGCUCUCUGGCCUGGUGCUACAUGUCUCUGUAAGUUGGGCAAUGAGUGAUGUCUUUGACAAACCAAAGUGAAAUGGAGCCUGUUGCGUGUGUAUGAAUCCACUAGGCCUUCUGACACGCCAGUCUUUUUUCUCAGCUUUGUGGUCAGCCUGGCCUUGCCUCACCCAGACCCCAUCCUGCUCCAAGUCAGGGAACUGCCCCUAGCAGGAAACUGAGUGAGUGAGCAGGAUGUGGCCGGUGAUGAGGCAGCUCCCAGACCUGGCUGGUCCCUGAGUCAAUGAGCUACUUCGGGCACUCAAAGGAAGCCCUUCCGCCCAUUCAUUACUUCCACCGCCUCUUCUAUCACCUCUACCAUCCCUCCCUAUCCAGGUGUGGGUCUUUGGAGGCAGGGAGCUGGUCUCCUUCUUCUGUAAGUCACAAAGGAAUAAGGGCAAUCUGGGGCAAAUGGCCUCAGCAUGGAGGCAGAGGAGGCUGCUCCUUGGGGAUGCCAGUGACUGCCCUGGCCAGGAGGCUGCCAGUAAUCUUGCUUUGGAGUCCCUAGGGCCAGGACUGGUGGCAGGGUAGGACAGAGGGGGCUGGGCCUGGCUGGGGAAGGCUGGCCUGGAAGGAGCUGAGCCAUCGGCCCUGGGCCAGGGUGGAAAAUAUGUGUGUGAGCUCAUUUGGAAGGUGGCUUCUGGCCAGUCAGGCCUGCCUCCCUUCCAGGCCCUGGCUGCCCAGCCCCUUGCAGGCGGCCUCCGGUCUCCCUACUUUCACAAGACUGAGAGAGGAGGGCAGAAACCCCCAAGGCUGGGGCUAGGUGUGCAGACUUGAGCUUUUAAAAGAGGUGUACUCAGAUUUGGGUUGGUAGGUAGGAAACGGGACAGGAGCUGCAGGACGACGGAGCAGCCUUGGCUGGAGUUUCCUUGGGGACUUUGGGAAUGGGCACCACCCCUGAAGCCCCCUGCCCCCCCAUGCCCUUGCACAGAAACAUUCACCAAUCCCACCCUUCCCUUAGCUGCUGCCAUUGUCUCAUUCCAUCCCUUUGGCUUCUGAGUCUUGGUGCCACCUUCCUUCCUUCAGAGUACGGCUCCUGUCCCCAGGAAGGGAGGCGAUGGGCUGGCAAAGUGGGGUCCUUUUCCCUCUGCACUCCUAUCCCCCAUAAUAUUGCUGCACAAUAAGCAAAUACAGCCGGGUGCUCACGCCUGUAAUCCCAACACUUUGGGAGGCCGAGGCAGGCGGAUCACCUGAGGUUGGGAGUUCGAGACAAGCCUGACCAACAUGGAGAAACCCUGUCUCUACUAAAAAUACAAAAUUAGCCGGGCGUGGUGGCACAUGCCUGUAAUCCCAGCUACUUGGGAGGCUGAGUCAGGAGAAUCGCUUGAACCCAGGAGGUGGCGGUUGCGGUGAGCUGAGAUCGUGCCAUUGCACUCCAGCCUGGGCAACAAGAGUGAGACUCUGUCUCAAAACAACAACAACAACAAAAGCCAUAAUAAGCAAAUACAUAUGUGCUGACAGAUCCCCAGAACACACACUGCCAUGAAAACGCCCAGCUACCCAGGGUCCAUGCUGGAAGAGACACCAAGAGAUUGCCAGGAUCUGCCAGUAUAGAAAAAUAAAUAAAUAAAUUGGAAAGAUCUGGGUUUUAAAUUUGGACUAACAACCUGUGACCUUGACCAAGUUAUUUAUCUUUCUGGGCCUCAGUUCCCUUAUUUGUUAAAUGGGGACAAUAUUAGUGCCUG
rnacentral:lncRNA from 10 species